UUUUGUUUGUAAAUUAUGUUUUCUUUCCAGAUUAAGCCAGACUGAAGCACUCUGAUACACAUUGAUGAUAACUGUGAAGAAUAGUCUUGUAAUACCUCCAAUUCAGGCAUCACACAAAAAGGCCGUACUACAGGGUUUGGCAUCUCCUGGAAGGCCGGGAAACCUUUUGGAGGCUUUACUUUUGAUGGAGCAUUGGAAUACAAUGCUUGGAAAAGAAAGCAAACCAUCUUCUGUCAUGAGAUCAAGGAGGGGACUGCUGGUCACCAUCUUUUGGUAGAAGGGAUCACAUCAAAUACCUAAAAUAAUGAUUUGGCUAAAUUACAACUAACC
rnacentral:lncRNA from 1 species